rnacentral:rRNA from 1 species
UAGCGACCAUAGCAUUAUGGACCCACCUGAUCCCAUGCCGAACUCAGAAGUGAAACGUAAUAGCGCCGAUGGUAGUGUGGGGUUUCCCCAUGUGAGAGUAGGACAUCGCU